GCCCCGAAUAAAAGACCUUUCGGGACUUCGCGUUGCGAAAGUGCGCGGUGCUCGGAGCCUCUGCCCAGGGAUGGUGUACUGCUGAAGGCAUAAAAUAAAACUGAAAUUAAAAAAAAAAAAAAAGGAUAGUAAAAAUACAUAUGUUUCCAAACUCUAACAUCUCGAAAUAACGUUAACCGCUUCCCAUCCAAAUCACAGCUCCCAACAUCCAAAAGGUGCCCGGUUCCCCUUCACCACCACCGCACACCGCAGGCCGAACCCCGUCGGGCUGCCCCGAGCCCUCCGCCCCCGCCGCACGCAAAGCGGAGCCGCCCCGGGCUCACAGCGGCUCCGGGAGGGCACCGCGACGCUCCCGACUCCGCGGCUGCAGCGGGGGCAGAGCGGCGUGCGGGAUCCCUGGCGCAGAAGCAUCAUUGAAAGCUGCAGACCCAUAGGAAAAAGCUGCCCUCCUUCCAGAUCCGAACCAGUCAAUGCGAUCGUCUUUUUAAUGAUUACUAUUUGCCAACUGUGUCGUGGUUUCAGUGCUCCAAGUUUCAUCUACUUGCUUUACUGGGCACAAUUAUGUUUCUCUGCCUAAAAUGCGUUACUGUCUGGUGUUCCGAACAUCUCUGACUUACACCGAGCCAUGAGAGAGAACAGAACUCAACCCCUCAUUGGAUCACAGCUGCCAUGGCUAGCAACUACACUGGAAAAAAAGGCUUAACUUAGCUGAGUAAUUCAGGGAUUUGGCCAGAUACUUGAUCAGCUACUGAAAUCUCCGGUCUGAAGAGCAGUUUGGAAAAGAAGACAACGAGAAUAAAUAAAUCCAGAAUCACAUAUGUGCAGUAUUGACUUUGCAAUUUAUGUCUAAGUACAUGACAGAUCACAGGUGAUUAACUUCUCCGCAAGCAUCUCUAUGCUACCAUGGUUCUGUUUAAGAUAUUCUGCUACAUCCUAGAAUACCUUUCCUAAAUAAACUCCAGAGGGUAAAUACUUAAGACAAUAGCAAAUGAUGGGUGACUGAAUGUAAGAACAUCAAAGGUUCUCUGAGGGAGGUGAGCUACAAGAGAGGCUUUGAACCCAGGUUAAAAUGUCACAGGGUGCUACCUGAGCACUGCAUUUAUCAAUUUAAUUCCUCCAGAAUCAACAAAUAAACUUUGUGACAAAGAUAAAGAAAAUCUAAACCUGUAUUUAUUUCUUAAAGGCAUCUUUGAAGUUACC
ensembl:lncRNA